CUCGUCAGUUACGAAGCUGGACUGAAACUGCCCAGUCAUUCAAUGCUGGAAGCUUCUGCGCGCGCGCGCCCAGGUCCGCACGCCCAUGCGUGGUGCGGCAUCUUGGCUCACUGCCAUGCGCGCGUGCGCCACACUGGCGCAUGUCCAUGCGCGCUCAUGCGCGGUGCGGCCUCUUGGCUCAAGGCCAUGCGCGGUGCGGCCUCUUGGCUCAAGUCCGUCCAUGCGCGCGUGCGCCACGUCACCUGUGAGCCUAUACGUGCGCGCCACACAGUCGCGCCGUAUUGGCUUACUCUGGUGCGCCGCGCAUGACACAGCAGGACCCAUGCACCAUGCGCCCAACCGCGCGCCUCGUGUACUCGCGCGCGCAUGACUGCCGCGUCAUGCGCCACAUCACGUACCACUUGGUCCUUGCAACCCUUGUGCUCCACAAAGGCGGCUCUCAAGCGGCUCGCGGCGAUGCGAGCGUGCGAAGUGCAAAGUGCGCCAUCAAAGCGUCACAUUGCGCCUCAUCGCCCACGCCACGCGCGCGCGCGCGCGAGCGUGUGCGAGUGCGAGUGCGAGUUAGGGUGCUCUGCACCCUUCGCGAGGACACUAG
rnacentral:lncRNA from 1 species